rnacentral:lncRNA from 1 species
UGAUAGAGUUUGGGUGUCUGGUAACUCGGAGAUUUUAGGUUUGAAUUCAGCACACAUCAUGAAUAGAAAUUAAUAUAGUAAAUUUCAUGUCUUCUAUUUUAUACUGAGUUUCGGUUUAGUCCGACAAAAAAAUCAUUUGGUCAAUACAAAAUAAUAAAAAAUAAAAAAAAAUUAAACUGUACAAUGGUAUUUAUUUGUAGAAUAUGCUGGAUUUGAAAAAAAAAACCUUCAAUUGGACAACUCCAUUUAUAU